UUGAUGCGCGCAGAUGUCACUUGAAUCAACGUGGCCUUACGGUGAAAAAAAAUAAUCACCACAGUCUUCAUGAACCCUUGAUGGGAAAUGACCACUGAAUUGUCAGAUUGGUUCUGGCGGAAUAUUUGACUAACACACUUUGUAAACCCAUCAAUGCAAUGCAGAAUGGAUCAAUACAACACUGUGCGAAUUCCACUCUCGACAACGUUGUGUUGCUCCUGGGAUUGCCGAUUAUGAGAUCAAUGUAAUGCUAGUUCACCUUUGUCCGCGGGGUAACCUAUAUCAGCUUCAUUAUUCAUAUUCCAACAUUUUCGAGUCCGUCGACUUGAUAUCCUAAAUAUACUGUGAUUUUAAAAGUGACAACGGAUAUAAGUUACCCCGCGGCGAAGUAACGUUACUACAUGUACAUGUACCAGUCUCUGUGAUAAAGAGCAGCGCUCGCCAGGUCAAUGAAUAUUAAUGAACGGAUUCAACCCUGCGAGGCUUUUAACGCGGAUCGCACUCCAUUGCUAUCAAACGCAGCGCUGGCAGAGGUUUAACAUAUCAGUUCGCCACGCACAUUUCACGUAACUGCAUUGCACAGGACCUGCAGAGGAGACGCUGCUAACAUUUACAAUCUACGGCUUCUUCAGUGUCAGUCAAAUCGCUGACAGCAUUUGCCAUCUGAAGGCUUGUUCAGCUCGAAUCACAACGAAGCGUCCGAAGAUGAAGCAAGAGGCCCCUCCACCCGUGGAGGGAGAGACCAUGGCGAACAAACUGUCACACAAGCAUGGCGCCCCACCUCUCCCCAUCAUCCGUCCAGUGGCCGCCGACAACAACGCUGGCUCCAGCUCGGGCAGGAAAGAGAAAAUAGCCAGCAAGACCAACAAGAAGUGGAUGCGGCUCGCCACAGUCUUUGCCUAUGUGUUUUUCGUGUCCCUUGCUGCCAUCAUUUUGGCCAUUUACUAUAGCUUCUUCUGGAUAGGAACACCCCAGAGUAUCACACAGACAAACGGCAAUGACACGGUCUUCAGUUCGGCAUAAUCUGUUUCACAGCCCACGAGAAGGCAAGAUCCUAAGAAGAGAAAGGACGGUGUGAUUUCAACCUUCUAAUCUCCUGCCGUGUCCACCGCUGUUCCAUCAUCCAUCACCCUGUAUAACUAACGACUUUCCUACUGCCUCGUGGAUGAAAUCUUCAUAUCUCCUCGCAUGGCAGGGUACCCUGGCUGAAUCCAUUAACAGUAAUCAGCCCAGAUGUGUGCACGACCCACAUCGCUCGGACAUUACCUGAUGGAAACCACUCAACUCAUUAGAUCCUGCUAAAUAUAUCGCCGCACUCCGGGGUGCGUACGGAGAACUAAUGAUGUUUUUGCUGCGUCAUCAGUGUCUGCUUUGACCCGUCUGGCCUUUACGGCUUGUUUUCCUUUUUUUAUUGUAUAUCAGAACAAUAUUGAAGAAUGUGAACAUCAUAGGAUCGAAUAAAGGGCAAUAAAGGAUUAUGUAUACUUAUGAAGUAUUAUAAGCUUACUGGCAUCGUUGAUGACGUUACGCCGUAUCACCCAAGAACACCGUACUUGUAUCAUAAAACUGUUACGCUGCGUAUACGUAAUUUAAACUAAAUGGUUUCAACAAAACAUCUUUCAUUGUGUCUAGUGCCUACCAUGAGGGGUGGCUACUUAUAGCGUGUAGGUAGCUACUUUUAUUAGAAAAAUAUGGAUUGUUGUAAAGAACGAAGUGUCAAAACGUUGGAUGCCAAUCCUUCCGCUUUUCAUGGCACAAAUAGUGACCCAAAAUGAUUUGCGUCGAAUAGAUCAUUCCACAUGUGGUACGCCUGGUAUGGCGCGGGACGAAUGGUUUUCCGGUACCGACUGAUAACAUUUCACAAUAAAGGAUAAGGAAUAGUCUUGCUUUUCCAGUAAUGGCCCUUAAGUCUAUACAUCGGGAUGUUAUUAAACAAGUGUUCUGCAGAAAGCCACAUAUGAAUAGAGGGACUGUAGUCUGACGCCCUAGAGGUCACACAGAGGAUUUCUUAUGGACAAACUAAGGAACUGUUGUAGGAUUUGACACCAACUGCAGUGAUGGUGCUGUUUGUUUGACAGGAAAUGAACUGUAGGAUUCUAUACUUUGAUAUUGUGUUGCCACCUGUUAUUGUCAACAAACACUAGCUUCCCAGACACUGACAUUACGUGUAUUUGAAUCAUUGUACAUGUACUAUGAAAUACUUUACAUUUCUGUCUCAUAGAGUACUCUACUUGUCUUUUGCUAAGAAACCUUAUCUGAACCUUCUCUUGUGUAUAAUAAUCAAGGCACUGCCGUAUUGUUCAAUUAGAAUCAAUCCACACACUUAUCAAGCCGUCAAAUACCGAAAUGUCUACUGUUCAUCUUCGGUUCAAUGUAAAAAAUGAGAAAUAUUGAAAUAACACGAAAGUUUCAUUGUGUACAGCAGAGUCUUCCAUUGUUUCCCCGGAAAUUGUGGACCAGCAACAAGACACAACAGAAAUGAUAUAACUCUGUAUCACAUUUUGUGACCAAUUUAUUCAAUAAUCAUCAUCAUAAUAAUCCCUUGCAGCCCAGGUUAAAUUCAUUACAAAAUGGCUAGCUCUACGCAAACCAGUGACUGCUGGAAACAGCAUGUCAUUGGUAUCUUAGGACAAAAUAUCUUUUAAGACAUUCCAAACAGCAGUGCAGGGUAAAAAAA